rnacentral:rRNA from 1 species
AAUCCAGACUCCUACGGGAGGCAGCAGUGGGGAAUAUUGCACAAUGGGGGGAACCCUGAUGCAGCGACGCCGCGUGAGUGAAGAAGUAUUUCGGUAUGUAAAGCUCUAUCAGCAGGGAAGAAAGAAAUGACGGUACCUGAGUAAGAAGCCCCGGCUAACUACGUGCCAGCAGCCGCGGUAAUACGUAGGGGGCAAGCGUUAUCCGGAAUUACUGGGUGUAAAGGGAGCGUAGACGGUUAAGCAAGUCUGGAGUGAAAGGCGGGGGCGCAACCCCCGGACUGCUCUGGAAACUGUGUAACUGGAGUGCAGGAGAGGUAAGCGGAAUUCCUAGUGUAGCGGUGAAAUGCGUAGAUAUUAGGAGGAACACCAGUGGCGAAGGCGGCGUACUGGACUGUAACUGACGUUGAGGCUCGAAAGCGUGGGGAGCAAACAGGAUUAGAUACCCCUGUAAAC